GCUCCUAUAGCUCAGUUGGUAGAGCGCGACACUAGUAAUGUCGAGGUCUUCGGUUCAAAUCCGAAUGGGAGCA
rnacentral:tRNA from 1 species